rnacentral:sRNA from 1 species
AUUUGAGUAGGAGAAAUAAAGUGAAUAUGAGAGUCAAUUCCACCUGCUGUUAUUAUUUUACCUUCAGCGGAAAGUAUUUCUGUAUUUGCACCAAUUUCUAAACCAUCUGUAAUUCCAUCACAAAGUUCAGGAUUUCCAGCUUUUCCAAUAGCACAGAUUUUUCCAUUCUUUAUUCCAAUAUCUGCUUUUAUAAUUCCUGUAUAAUCAAUAAUAACAGCAUUUGUAAUAAUCAAAUCAGCAACAUCUAUAGCUUUUGGACUUUGUGCCAUUCCAUCUCU